UGACGAGUGGCGGACGGGUGAGUAAUGUCUGGGAAACUGCCUGAUGGAGGGGGAUAACUACUGGAAACGGUAGCUAAUACCGCAUAACGUCGCAAGACCAAAGAGGGGGACCUUCGGGCCUCUUGCCAUCGGAUGUGCCCAGAUGGGAUUAGCUAGUAGGUGGGGUAACGGCUCACCUAGGCGACGAUCCCUAGCUGGUCUGAGAGGAUGACCAGCCACACUGGAACUGAGACACGAUCCAACCUAAUACGGGAGGCAGCAGUGGGGAAUAUUGCACAAUGGGCGCAAGCCUGAUGCAGCCAUGCCGCGUGUAUGAAGAAAGCCUUCGGGUUGUAAAGUACUUUCAGCGGGGAGGAAGGGAGUAAAGUUAAUACCUUUGCUCAUUGACGUUACCCGCAAAAGAAGCACCGGCUAACUCCGUGCCAGCAGCCGCGGUAAUACGGAGGGUGCAAGCCUUAAUCGGAAUUACUGGGCGUAAAGCGCACGCAGGCGGUUUGUUAAGUCAGAUGUGAAAUCCCCGGGCUCAACCUGGGAACUGCAUCUGAUACUGGCAAGCUUGAGUCUCGUAGAGGGGGGUAGAAUUCAAGGUGUGGCGGUGAAAUGCGUAGAGAUCUGGAGGAAUACCGGUGGCGAAGGCGGCCCCCUGGACGAAGACUGACGCUCAGGUGCGAAAGCGUGGGGAGCAAACAGGAUUAAAUACC
rnacentral:rRNA from 1 species